rnacentral:rRNA from 1 species
AAACUAAUCUUCCCGUGAAAAAGCGGGGACACAAAUACAAGACGAGAAGACCCUUUGGAGCUUUAGACAAAGUAACGUUUCGCAUAUUUAUCAUCCACCUAUUUCCCAAAGCAUUUACAUUACAAGUCUUCGGUUGGGGCAACCGCGGAGUAAAAAUUACCCUCCAAGUUGAAUGGAAUUUUCCUAAACAAAAAGACACAACUUUACGUAUCAUAAAAAUGACAAGCAUGACCCAAUAUUUUGAUUAUCGAACCAAGUUACCCUAGGGAUAACAGCGCAAUCCACUUCGAGAGUUCAUAUCGACAAGUGGGCUUACGACCUCGAUGUUGGAUCAAGGUAUCCCAGUGGUGCAGCCGCUACUAAAGGUUCGUUUGUUCAACG